GUGCUUGCUUUGGCAGUACAUAUACUAAAAUUAGAAUGAUAGAGUGCAGAUUACCAUUUCCCCUGUGAAAGAAUGACACACAACACUGUGAAGCGUUCCAUAUUUUU
ensembl:snRNA U6 U6 spliceosomal RNA